rnacentral:misc_RNA from 1 species
CUAGAGCUGCAAGUGUCUGGG